AACGCCUAGCGCUUGCGCUACAAGGGUAGUGCUGCAGUAAAUUCCGUGAGGUAUUUCUGGAGUGGUGAAGCGUGUUGUUCGGGUUGUCAAAGCUGUGUAUGUAAAAUUAACCUGAUACUACAGAGACUUUGAUCAAAAAACCGUUAUGAUUUACGUUCGAUGGAUUAAAUGGAUUCAGAAAUAAACGUUUAUCGAUCUCUCCCACCGUUGGUAGAGGGAAAACUUCACGGCUAUCUGAAACUCACCGUUGACGAAGUUGUCUGGUCCAGACGGAGUCCAGGAGACGUAACUAUACUUGCAUCCUGGUGGGGUGAACUCGACAGUGCGCAAUUUAGGCCUGUCGACAUUCAAACAGGAUUGGCAAGGCUCGACAGCGAUAAAACAGAAACUUAUGCAGUUAGAACAAGCAUUGAUCUCUUUUCAGAGUAUUUGAAAAAUUGUGAAAUUAUAGAGCUAGUAUGUGUAACAGAAGACACACAUGAAAUUCUUGGUACAGCUCAUGUUGGUGAUUUACGAGAUAUAUUCAAGGCUACAGUUUUCUCAAGAUAUUUUCCAAUCGUCAAUGAGUCGGGAAAUAGAUUAGGAGACGUUCAUGUUGGUUUGAAAUUUACAAGUAUGACUAAAGGCACUAAAUCCCUCAGUAAGAUAAAAGAUUUCCAGAAAACGCAAUUUGAAGAUCAAGUAUCUUAUCCUGUGAUCAAUAUCAAACCUAAAUACAGUGAAGAAAAAUUACAAAAACCAAACAAAAUGAUAUUUGACAACAAAUCAAACAACAUUUUUGCAACGAGCAAUCUUGAUAACAGCGAUGAUGUGUAUAAGUCGGUUCUGAAAGAUAAAAGAAUGCAAACCGAAAAACCAGUGAAAAAAUUUAACACAGAAGUUGCUGAUAAACUGGUAGCCCACGUUGUUGCAAGAGCACAACGACUGAGAGGAGCUUUACUCAGAGAAACUUAUGAAAAAGAUCCUCUGGCUCUGAGUGAAAGCUCUGUCUUAGAUAGCUCCAGAUCGGAUACUUCUGCUGAUAAUGAAGCCAAACUGUAUGAGUACUUUCUUGGAAAGAGGAUGAGCCGAUUUGAUGAGCGUAAAGCUUUAGACACCUUGAGAUUGACAUCACCAACUCCAAGUUUGAUUGAUCUUGCAUCAGAAGCUAUUCAGUCUUGUCAGCAUAAUGGUAAAUCGCAUUGUAAUGAAAGAAAAGCUGUGAUAAAUGUUCCUGUAGAGACUACAGACAAUGCAAUAUCAAAAGAUUCAAUAUCCACCAAAUCUAGAGAACAUUUGCCACUAGAUCAGAUAGAUAGUAUGAAGAUAAUUGUGGAGUCCCUGACGUUAUCACCAGCAGGCUACCGACGAGUGCGAUCCUCUUGCGUUUCUCGUGGGGACAGCAUUCCACUAGCAGUGACAUAUUUUGUCGAAUAUGAUACAUCAUUCACCCAUACCAAGAAAACAAUGAGAAAAUCAAGCAAUGAGAUGCGCCCUACAAAAUUGUCCUCUAAGAAGCAAGUUGGCCAAGUGAUUUAUUUCAAUCACCAAGCCAUCUUCGACCUGCCAAGGACCUGCAUCAAUAUGAAUGCACCUUUGAAAUUCAAAGUGUACAACCGACAUUUGAACCAAAGGUCACCAACUUUAUUAGGAUUUGGAUCAAUUUAUAUCAACGAAAUUGCAGAAAUGGAUACAUUAAGCACAACACAGAAGCUAGCCAUAGUAAAUAAAGGCAUCAAAAUGGGAGAGCUCAAAGUCAACAUUGAGCUAGGCUGUGACGGUAUUCACUUUGGCAGAGAUUUUAUUGAUGCAGUCAUGUCUACGAAACAUAACAUUCCCAUACACGAAGUGUUAUCUGUACCCAGCUCAAUUGGAAGUAAAGUGAAAUCCACCACAGGCAGUCAUUCAAAGCCAAACAGCAGAGUUUCCUCAUCGUCUAAGUACUCCUAUAGUUGUAGUGGUAGCAAGUCUAGUGGAAGUAACAAAAAUGGGGGGACUGAACUAAAAAAAAGUAAUGCAGAGGAUAGAUAUCUAAAACUAGAACAACCCAACGACUCUAAGGAUGGAAAGACACUGCUACAUGGACUAAUAUAUAUCGCUGAAGGCAAAGGAUUACCGAAAUUAAACACAUACCUAAUAUGCCGAGCGUUUUGGAAAGAAGACAGGGCUACAAGUCAAUUAUGCACGGAUACGGAUAAUCCAUUUUACCACUUUCACGAGUUAGUUCCAUUGUUGCAUGGACAAGAUUUACUAGAUCGGACAAAAGACAAUUUCAUUGUAACAGAAAUUUGGACUAGAAAUUUUGCAGGACAAGAUAAUUUACUUGGAAUUGCUAAGCUACCCGUUCAUCAGUUGUACGUUGCUUAUAAGGAUCCUUUAGUCUUGCCACAUUUACUGAUGUCAAAGUAUCCUGUCAUAAGCGUUGACGGAUGGGUUCCAAUUUGUGAACCAGUAACCGGUCGCUCAUGCGGAGAACUAUUGGCACUUGUAGCUCUUGGUACUGCGGAACAAAUUGCUCUCUUAGAAAUGACCAGAGGACUUCGUGACUGUAGCAUUACGCCACGUGUGGUACAAAGUUCCUUGCGAAAUGCCUCUCAAAAUACGGACAAAUCCAAUGUCAAUUCAAAUGAUAAUCAGAGUACUAAUGACAAAGUCCAUAGUUCUUACAAUAUGCUGCAAACUUCCACAGAGCUCUUGCAGGGUAUUGAAAGUGGCCUUGAACAUUAUCAUACGAAAGAUUCCUCAAGUUCACAAAAUACCAGAUCUCAAGAGUCACAGACUGAAAUAACAACCGUUGAAGAUAUGAAAUCUUCCAAUGUCUCCAAUCCACAAUCUCAAAAUGAAGCUGUUACCUCACAGAGCUCAGUCUUACAUGCUCUCGUCGAUCAUCUAGCCCAGGCACUUAAUGUUCCAAAUUCGAAUUGUCACCCAGUAACUGAUCCCAGAAAAGUUGAGUCAAAGCAUCAGAAAAUUUCCGCUGUAGAGCGAAUUGACUCAGACCCAUUGAGUAACGAUAGUAUAUCUUCGUCGGAGGGGAGUCCCCGAGGGAAUUAUGACAUGCCAACUGAAAUGUACAGAAGUGUUGGUGUUGGUGCAGAAUUCGAUGAGAAUAUCAAUCAAGUUCCAAGUACGAGCUACUCAACUUUGAAUUCUAAACCACUAGUGAAGGAAAAAUCAGUUUCAUACAAUGAUCUGGGAAGCACAGUCAGCCAAGUAGAGGAUGAACCAUCAUUUAGAGCUCAUGUCGAAAUUGAAUGUGCUCUCCAUUUGCCUACGACAGAAAGAUCUGAAGGACCUAUUGAGCCGAGCACAUAUGUCACUUUUCAACCGGCCCAAAAAGACACAUGCAAACAGUUUGGCUCCUAUAAAGUCACAAAUAUUCAUCCAAACAGCUGUAGUCCAAAGUGGGAAUGGAGAUGUGAUACUCAUCUGUCAUCGGAGUUACUCGUAAACGAACAAAAAAGAAUGAUUUUGAAAAUCUGGCGGUUAGCGGACCCCGCAAUAAAUUCUGAUCUUGAUUUAGAGAAAGAUAUAGUAAUCGGCUUUGCAGCCGUCGAUUUGUCUGUACUACUCUCUGGAUUUCCACUUGUAUCUGGUUGGUUCCAUAUAAUGGACUUCACUGGAAAAUGCAAUGGGCAGAUCAAAGUCACUAUUACUCCACUAGAAAAUAUUUCGAUCUAUGCAAAGACAAGUUCUGGCACUAGUAUCCCACAAAAUUAUACAUCUCACUUAACAGUAUCACACAGUAUUCCACAAACGAUAAGUGUCCUGGCACCAACUUUGAUCACCCCCAGUGAACAGAUUCAGCUGAGCUAUGCACCUGCUGAUAUGGACGCAUUUUAUACACAUCGUAGUCAACAGGAAAAUGAUUCAACCAGUGACAUUGGUCUGAGUCUAGGCGAUGUUUCUAUGACGUUUCUGUCACAGUCGCUUAAGCAAAAGUUGACUGAACUGGAUGAAAUAACCAAGCGCUUAAAAUCCCGUUUACAUGAUGUAACCAAUGAGGAUUUUGACGUUGAUUUUGAUCCAGACUUUGAUAUUAAUGAACCAGAACUAGAAUUAGAGCAUAAUCAAAAUGGCAACACUCUACAUGAUCGCUCUCCAAAUGUAAUAUCUCAAAACAUACAAGAUUGGCAGCUGCUACCUCCUACAACUAAUUAUUCGUCUAGCCAUAGUUCACAAAUUAACAGAUGUCGAGAUGCGAAUUUAAUUAACGACAUCCAAAAUCGAUAUGGACCUCAUAAUUACAACACAAACACAGAGAGUACCGAACAAAAUCUCACAGACACUGGUUACUCUACGAAUUCGAAUGUACAAUCUAACCAGAGUUUGUCAAACGGGUAUCUUGAAACAGAAAACCAAAACGGUCACGUUAACUAUUUAAGUAAUGGUCAUCUACAGGAUGAUGCAAUGGAACAACCAGUUAGAGGAGCUAGGAUGCAUAUAAAUCAUUUAUUGGAUAAACUAACUUCAUUUACAUCGGCACCACCAACAGCGGGGAAUUUCCCUAUUAAACGAAAUAUUCAUGAUUUCAUAGCUAGCUUACGACACAACAAUACUACUGGCAAAUGCAACCAAGAAGUAAACGUGAGAACUGUUCCAACUCAAACGGAGUACCAGGACAUUCAGCACAGUGAGACUUCUAAAAAUCAAGCUUUGUUGCCUACGAACUUACAAUCGAAUACCGUACUUAAAGAUCGCAAUCAGAAUAAUAACCAUACAAAUGCUCCAAUGAAUGAUUUGAUGCAAGACAGAAACAAAGUCUCAACAUUAAUUCGCGAAGAGCUAAUCACAGAUGAAAAUAAUGAAACAGCAGAGUUUGACGACAUAACGACACACCUACUGACUUCUAAUGUUAGGCACAUGGAUCUAGACAGUAUUUUUAAUCCGCUCCUAUAUCAACACUUAAUUCCUGAUGUUCAGGUAUCUAACUCAUUUUCAAACCCCAGUGAAGCUGUGCAAGAUUUGGAAAAUUUAAAUACCCCAAAUGAUGGAGUCAUCAUAGAAGAGUUAGACAACAGAUACGCUGAGACUUUUAAUGCUACCAUCAAUAAUGGAUUGGGCAGGCUACGGAAUCUGAUAGAGAUAGACGCAUCUUUAGUUGAGGACAAUCUUAGCCAAAAUAGAACACAGUCAAAAUUAUCAAAAAGCUCAGGAAAUAGCGAUUUCUUUAGAAUGACGCCGGCAGGUGUGUCCGAAGAUACUGAUGGAAAUAUAGAUGUUACAAUAGCAGAUAAGCCUAGUAACGACGAUUUGAUGGCAAGUAAUAGCACAGAGUCUACAACGACACUUUCCCUUGAUACUGCUUCCAUCAGGCAGAGACAAGAAGUUUUGGAUAACGUUUCUUUAAUGUCAUCUGACUCGUCCACUUCUGUAAUUACAAGGCAAGCACCCGAUGGUGGAAAUCCAGCAGAGGAGACUAACAAACCAUCAGUUAUCAGCCGUCAGAACGAGAGCGAUACUUGUUCAACUGAUAGCUAAGUUUCAACCUCUGUUCUAGCCAGCCUGAAUCGUUUUACUAUUCUUCUUUCGAUUCCUUGAGUAUGCAGCUCUUAAAGUUCUGGAGGAUUGAAAUUCAUAAUUUAUGAUGAAGGAGGACUUAGGUUUUGCUUAUAAGUUUCUGUGAUGCUAGAAGAUAGCUGUAUUUUACAUAGGUCUACAUAAACCCAGAAAAAGCGCAUGCACGGUCUACACAGAAAAUAUUUGUUGUUCUUGUGCCAGUAAUCGCCGAAUGGUUUUUUCUGACAUAAAUCACAAAUAUCAG
rnacentral:misc_RNA from 1 species